rnacentral:misc_RNA from 1 species
AAGUCGUAACAAGGUUUCCGUAGGUGAACCUGCGGAAGGAUCAUUAUCGAAGAGCAACUCUUCAUAUACACCUGUGAACCGUCGUCCUUUGGACGCUAUACAAACUCUAGUGUUGUCUUGAAUGUCUAGUUAUAUCAUAACAAAAAUAACUUUCAACAACGGAUCUCUUGGCUCUC